GCUACAGAGGUUUUAAAUGUGGCGAUUACUAUCAGGCUAUUAUUUAAAGUUACUUCUCGGCAUUUAUGCUUAUAUUGAUUCUUUUAUAAUUAACCUGAGAUUGGAGGUCCAAAAUAAUUGUUGUGACAAAGACCUAUGUGGUUCUCAACAAGGCUGACCGCACAUCAGCUUGUGUAUUUGUUCCCUUGAUCUUAUCUUAUGAUACACAUGACUGGGUUUUCACUUCUUACUGCAAAAACAUCUUGGCCAUAUACUUUCGUAUUAGACGCAUUUUUGUUUUUUAUUCCUUUGGUUCCGUUUAUUAAUAGUAUUUUGUAUUUACAUUAUGGGGGUGUUUUCUCUUGCCAAAUGAUUUAGUUGAAAAGAUAUGGAAUUGAUUAUAUUAGUUAACCUCUUAAUCGGUCUUAUCCAUCAGGUACAUGUAUUAUUUGUCUUUAUUAAUCCAUGAUAAAUAUCCCAGACCACUAAUCAAUAUUCAAUAGUAACAAUAUUUUUUUUGGUUACUUUCAGGAUCUCUGUGUUCACGUGUAGCAAAAUUAGUGGGUCAAAAGUUGCUUCAAUCAUCCGCAGUCCAAAUGCCUACAAUCAUCAGGUAUCGUAACGAUUAUUUAAGUAAUUUUUUAUUUUACAACUGGGCAGUAUGACAAAUUUAAACGCUAAUAGUGGAUUUGUAUCCAAUAUGGCUUCAAGAGGAGAUAAAGUAUCGGUUUUAGCAUUUGAAGUAGCUAAUACCAUUGUUUAAGGGUCCAAUUUGAUGCAAUCCCUUACCGAAAAGCAUCCAGAUCCUUAUAAAGGAGAUUUUGCAUUCAGAUCUAGAGAGUUUGUUCGGUUUAGAAAUAUGUGGGCUGGCAUAUAUACCUGUUGACGCACAAUACGACAACAAUAGAGGUGAUUUAAGAGAAAACACACUGCUUUAGAGGCUGGAAUUUCAGCAAACGGUUGCGGGCAUCAGUCACAUUUCAUUUGGUGGAGAAGAAUCGGUAUCUCCUAAAAAGGCACUUUUUGAGGCUAAGUAGCGGGAGUUAAGUGGUACAUUAGAUAAGGAGUCAGAUUCAACGUUGAAAAAAACAGUUUUCAAAUGCAAAGAACAAGGAACUUAGUGGACAUAACAUAUUUGCACCACCUCCUGAAAUUCAACUUCGCCCGUUGGCUGCGCGCGCAUUGGCGUUGAGAGAAAGCAUAACGAUCAGUGAAUCUACUCCAAACAAUACAAAUGUUGCAGAACUGGUGAAGACGGCAAAAAGAUCCCGAGCCAGAAAUUCACAGAGCUUUCUGGAAACAAUAUUUUCAAAGGUGACGAGGUGCCAGCAUCGACAGAAAAACCUCUGAGCUCAGCAAAGCUUUGAGAAAUGAGUGGAAGUAAUAUCUUUGCUGACGGGAAAGCAGAAUCUAAAGACUAUCUAGGGGCUCGCAAGCCGCCGGCUGGAGAUAGUAGCAUUGCUUUGGUUUAGGUUCUAACACAUUUGUUUUCAGUAUCAUUGUUUCUUUUUCAUGUUUUUGGUAAAUGGUACUUGGUGGUGCUAUUCAUAUGGAUUUGAUUGUGGGUUUGUGGCUCUUUAUCAUCUGUUUUGUCUUAGCGUAUAUGAUAGUUUAUGGACCCAGUAUGUGUUCUUUUGGCUAAUUAGUGCGA